rnacentral:lncRNA from 1 species
AUGGAAAUGUACAUUACAUGAAAGUACUGGUAUAAACUUUAAUAGACCAUUUACCACCUUGGGUGGGAGGAAGGAGGGAAGAAGAAAAUCAGAAUCACAAAAUGAAAAAAAAAAUUGUAAAAAAUUGAUUCUAUAAGUAAUUGAAAAAAUUAAAAGAAUUUUUUUAAAAAGCUAAACAAACAAAAACAGAGUACAAUGCAACAGAAUGACUCAACAACAAGAUCCACUUUCCUUUUAUGUUUUCUCUCCCUCUUUCUUUCUUUCUUUUUCUUCCUUCCUUUUCUCUCUUUUUCUUCCUUCCUAUCUUUCUUUUUCUCUUUUUUCCUUCCUUCCUUUUUUCUUUUUUUCUCUUUUUCUCUUUUCCCUUCCUCCCUCUCUUCCUCCCUCCCUCUCUUCCUCCCUCCCUCCCUCCCUCUCUCUCUCUCUCUCUCUUUCUUUCUUUCUUUCAUCUUUCUUUCUUUCUUUCUUUCCUUCCUUCCUUCCUUCCUUCUUUCCUUCCUUCCUUCCUUCCUUCCUUCCUUCCUUCCUUCCUUCCUUCCUUCCUUCCUUCCUUCCUUUCUUCCUUCCUUCCUUCCUUCUUUCUCCUGAGAAUAUAUAUUUCCAAACUUCAGUUUACAUUCUCAUGAAUAAUCCCUGGGUUUGAGAGGUCUUGAGUUCCAGAGUUCUUGAGUUUGAGCUUCAGGCACUAUCCUCCAAGGAGGAAAAGAUUUCCUUAACAGGGGCCAUCACAGCAAAAGAAAAGUGGAGCCAAAAAUUAGCCUUGAAACUAGAAGACUGAAGCCAUAACUGAAGAGUCUGUACAUUACCCAUUCUCCUUGGUACUACUGUGAAUUGCUAGGGCAGUAAGUAAAAACCCAAGGUAAAUAGGUAUUUGUUCAGCCAUCCCACCAAAUAUCUUUACUUUAACAGCUGGAGACUAAUGGGUAUAGUGGGAAGAGCACUGACUGUACAAUCAAAGGAUAUGAGUCUUAAUCCUUCCUUCCAUGCUUAUCUACUGUAUGACCUUAGAGAAAGCAUAUAGUCUCUUUAGGUCUCUG